GUCCUACUUUACGCAUGCGCAGUGAUUGGUUCGCUCUUAACUUUGGAAGCAGUGAGUUCAUCUCUUGCUUCCUUCUGCGCUGUUUUGGAGAUUAUUUCACAGUCUGUUCACUAUAAGCGGACAUAUUUUAACCUCUGCUCAGAACCGAAACCGACACCGAAGUGAAAGAUGGACGGAGAGAAGAACUUUAUCUCUGGAGGACGCUCGGAUGACGACGGUGGGAUUCCAGUGCAGGACGAACAUCCUGCGUCUGACAGCGCUGGGCGUCAGUCAGAGGAUCAACGUGUGUGUGUGUCUGCAGCGAAGAGGAAGAAGUUCCUGUCUGACAGCGAGGAUGAGGAGGAGGAUGAAGAAAAGCCUGGUGAGACAUCACACGUUUGUACCAAUCAGACGUUACACACAUAUAUACUGUAUAUACACACACACACACACACACACACAUACUGUAUAUAUAAACACACAGACACACACACACACACACAUAUACUGUAUAUAUAAACACACACAUAUACACACAUAUACACACACAUAUACUGUAUAUAUAAACACACACACACAUAUACGCACACACACAUACUGUGUAUAUAUAAACACACACACACACACAUACUAUAUAUACACACACACACAUCAC
rnacentral:lncRNA from 1 species